UACGUAGGUGGCAAGCGUUGUCCGGAAUUAUUGGGCGUAAAGCGCGCGUAGGCGGCCACUUAAGUCGGAUGUGAAAGCCCCUGGCUCAACUGGGGAAGUGCACCCGAAACUGAAUGGCUUGAGUGCGAAAGAGGGUCGCGGAAUUCCCGGUGUAGAGGUGAAAUUCGUAGAUAUCGGGAGGAACACCGGUGGCGAAGGCGGCGACCUGGGUCGACACUGACGCUGAGGCGCGAAAGCGUGGGGAGCAAACAGG
rnacentral:rRNA from 1 species